rnacentral:rRNA from 1 species
UCAAGGGUUUAUAUUAAAAAUAAUUUUAAUAAUUAAAUAUGUUUAAGUAUUUUAUAUAAAAAUAAUAAUAAAAUUUAUAAUAAAUUUGUAUAGGAAUAGAUUUUUGAAAUAAUUGAAAAUAAUUUAUUUUAAAAGAAAAUUUUAGUUAUUGUACCUUGUGUAUCAGGGUUUAUUAAAUAAAUUAUUUAUAAAAAAUAUUUCUCGAAUUUAAGAUAUCUAUAAGUUUAUACAGUUUAUUAUAAUAAAAAUAUUAUUUAUAAAUUUAUAGAAAUGAAACGUUAGUCGUUCUUAAAUAUAUCUAGUUUUUUAAGAAAUAAAUUUAAUUUAUAAGUUUUUUAUUAGAUUAAAUAAUUAAUUAUUUAAUUUAAUUUUUAAUUUAAAUUUUUAAAGGGAUAAGCUUUUAAAAAUAGUUAUAAAAAAUUAGUUUAAUUUUAUAAAUAUAAGCUUAGAAUUAGUUAUUAAUAUAAAUUAUGUAAUAGUUUAUUAUUUUAUUAAUAAUUGUUUAGUUAAUUUUUAUUUUUUAUUAAAAUAUUGAAUUUAAUUUUUUUUAUUCAAUUAAUAAUGAUAAAAUUAGUAUAAUAAAAUUAAUUAUUUAAACUUAAUUUUGUAAUUAAAAAUUUUGUUUAAGAAUUCGGCAAAUUUAAUUUUCACCUGUUUAUCAAAAACAUGUCUUUUUGUAUUGUAUCUAAAGUCUAACCUGCCCAUUGAAUUUUUAAAAGGCUGCGGUAUUUUGACCGUACAAAGGUAGCAUAAUCAUUAGUUUUUUAAUUGAAAACUUGUAUGAAUGGUUGAAUGAGAAAUUAACUUUUUUAAUAUAAAAAUUGAAUUUUACUUUUUAGUUAAAAGGCUAAAAUUUAUUUAAAAGACGAGAAGACCCUAUAGAGUUUUAUAAUUAAGGUUAUAUUUUUUAAUAAGUUUAUUUAACAAUAUAUAAAUUAAAUUAUUUUAUUGGGGUGAUAGUAAAAUUUAAUAAACUUUUAUUAAUUAUUUAACAUUAAUAUAUGAUUAAUUGAUCCAAUAAUAUUGAUUAAAAAUUUAAAUUACCUUAGGGAUAACAGCGUAAUUUUUUUUUAAGUUCUUAUUAAUAAAAGAUUUUGCGACCUCGAUGUUGGAUUAAGAUUAAAUUUUAGGUGCAGCAGCUUAAAUUUUAAGUCUGUUCGACUUUUAAAUUCUUACAUGAUCUGAGUUCAAACCGGUGUGAGCCAGGUUGGUUUCUAUCUUUAAAAUUUUUAAAUGUUUUAGUACGAAAGGAUUAAAUAUUUUAUAUAAUAUAACUACUAAGAAUAGC